UUAAAUUGAAGAGUUUGAUCAUGGCUCAGAUUGAACGCUGGCGGCAGGCCUAACACAUGCAAGUCGAACGGUAACAGGAAGCAGCUUGCUGCUUUGCUGACGAGUGGCGGACGGGUGAGUAAUGUCUGGGAAACUGCCUGAUGGAGGGGGAUAACUACUGGAAACGGUGGCUAAUACCGCAUAACGUCGCAAGACCAAAGAGGGGGACCUUCGGGCCUCUUGCCAUCAGAUGUGCCCAGAUGGGAUUAGCUUGUUGGUGAGGUAACGGCUCACCAAGGCGACGAUCCCUAGCUGGUCUGAGAGGAUGACCAGCCACACUGGAACUGAGACACGGUCCAGACUCCUACGGGAGGCAGCAGUGGGGAAUAUUGCACAAUGGGCGCAAGCCUGAUGCAGCCAUGCCGCGUGUAUGAAGAAGGCCUUCGGGUUGUAAAGUACUUUCAGCGGGGAGGAAGGUGUUGUGGUUAAUAACCGCAGCAAUUGACGUUACCCGCAGAAGAAGCACCGGCUAACUCCGUGCCAGCAGCCGCGGUAAUACGGAGGGUGCAAGCGUUAAUCGGAAUUACUGGGCGUAAAGCGCACGCAGGCGGUCUGUCAAGUCGGAUGUGAAAUCCCCGGGCUCAACCUGGGAACUGCAUUCGAAACUGGCAGGCUUGAGUCUUGUAGAGGGGGUAGAAUUCCAGGUGUAGCGGUGAAAUGCGUAGAGAUCUGGAGGAAUACCGGUGGCGAAGGCGGCCCCCUGGACAAAGACUGACGCUCAGGUGCGAAAGCGUGGGGAGCAAACAGGAUUAGAUACCUUGGUAGUCCACGCCGUAAACGAUGUCUACUUGGAGGUUGUGCCCUUGAGGCGUGGCUUCCGGAGCUAACGCGUUAAGUAGACCGCCUGGGGAGUACGGCCGCAAGGUUAAAACUCAAAUGAAUUGACGGGGGCCCGCACAAGCGGUGGAGCAUGUGGUUUAAUUCGAUGCAACGCGAAGAACCUUACCUGGUCUUGACAUCCACGGAAGUUUUCAGAGAUGAGAAUGUGCCUUCGGGAACCGUGAGACAGGUGCUGCAUGGCUGUCGUCAGCUCGUGUUGUGAAAUGUUGGGUUAAGUCCCGCAACGAGCGCAACCCUUAUCCUUUGUUGCCAGCGAUUCGGUCGGGAACUCAAAGGAGACUGCCAGUGAUAAACUGGAGGAAGGUGGGGAUGACGUCAAGUCAUCAUGGCCCUUACGACCAGGGCUACACACGUGCUACAAUGGCGCAUACAAAGAGAAGCGACCUCGCGAGAGCAAGCGGACCUCAUAAAGUGCGUCGUAGUCCGGAUUGGAGUCUGCAACUCGACUCCAUGAAGUCGGAAUCGCUAGUAAUCGUGGAUCAGAAUGCCACGGUGAAUACGUUCCCGGGCCUUGUACACACCGCCCGUCACACCAUGGGAGUGGGUUGCAAAAGAAGUAGGUAGCUUAACCUUCGGGAGGGCGCUUACCACUUUGUGAUUCAUGACUGGGGUGAAGUCGUAACAAGGUAACCGUAGGGGAACCUGCGGUUGGAUCACCUCCUUACCUGAAAGAAGC
rnacentral:rRNA from 1 species